CAGAUUUUGUACUUACACCAACAUCAAAUCUAUUGAGCAUAUAAAGUUGCGAUUAAAGUCUAAGAAGCAAUUGUAGAUGUUUAGGGAGUCCCCAUUUGGUCAUUUUCUUGAUUUACCGAAUAUCAAGGUUCACCCACAACUCAUUCGCAGCUUGAUGUAUGCGGAGACUGAUAAUGAUAGAGAUGAUAUGUUUAUCAUCAAGUUGAAUGGAGAAGAGCUCUUUUUUGGGAUAAGAGAGUUUGCCAUUAUUAGUGGUUUGAAAUGCGGCAUGCCGAGUGAAUUUGUUCCGGACCAUAAUUCACCAAAUAGGUUAAUGAAUAGUUACUUUCCCAAUCAACAAAGGGUACUCAAGAGUGAGUUGAUAAGUUUUUAUGAAGGAAGCAUUUGUGUGGGUGAUGAUGAUCUUGUAAAAAAUCUCCAUUUUGUAUUUUAUUAGCACAUUCCUAUUCUCAACUGAGCCUUCCAAAUCUUACGUAUCUAGGCUGCACUUUGACUUAGUUGAGAGUGGUGAAUAUAGGAACUAUCUGUGGGGAAACGAUUGUUUUAACGAAACACUUGCUUCUGUUAGUCAUCAAUUGAGUGGUGAUCCAUCGUAUUAUAGGGUUGGGGGCUUUCCACUUGCUUUGCAGGUUUGGUUUUAUGAAUGUUGCUCGAAGGUUGAUCAUUUUGUUGCUACUCGUAUUCGAAACCACAUUCCUCGUAUUCUUAAUUGGCAAACAUCCCAAGAUAUAUUGUACUUUGACUAUCUGAAGAGGGGGGUGUUCAAAACUUAUGGGAAUCAGGUGGUUUUUUCCAACAUCACACAAGCAAACGAUGAAUUGCCACUUCUCACUGAGUUACCAGAUCCGCCACGACCACGUACUACUACAAGUGAUACACCAUUUGUACAUGGUUCUUUGUUUGAGGCAUUGAAGAAUGAGGUUGUAAAUGUUCGUGAAGAUUUGAAACUAUUUCAGAAGAAGGUA